rnacentral:RNase_P_RNA from 1 species
CCUUUGCGGUGUUGCAGGCGAGAGGAAAGUCCGGGCAACACAGGACAUCCCGCUUCCUAACAGGAAGAGGUCCGCAAGGGUCAGUCAGUGCAGAAGAAAAGAACCGCCUGCUUCCAGGUGUAGCAAUACUUGCUCCGCCCGUGUGCAGGUAAGGGUGAGAAGGUGAGGUAAGAGCUCACCAGGCCGGCAGUGAUGUCGGUGCUGUGCACUCCGGGAGUUGAAAGUUCAUGUAUACCGGCGCAUACAAAGAGAGGGCUGUCCGUCCGAGCCGGAGGGUAGAACGAUAGAGGACAGUGGUGACGCUGCCCCAAGAUAAAUGGCAAGCACCCCGCAAAGGCUUCGGCCAGAACGGGCAUACAGAACCCGGCUUACAGGUUCGCUGUU